rnacentral:lncRNA from 1 species
CUACGGACGAAAACAAACGACAAAAGAAGAACGACGUCCAUCCUUGCUAUCCCAGGCUGCCGGCCUGGAACCCAUCCUAGAUCGAUGAAGAAGAAGAAGAAGAGGCAACUCCAAAAGAACAAUCAACGCGCUCGCGUCAAGUAACCUUUACCUGUACCUGCAACUGGUGUUGUAGUAAUCUGUGAGCCACAGGGGACUCAGCAAUCUCAUUUCCAAAGGUAUCAAGACUAGCAAAGCUUAAUGGGUGAGGCAUGGUUAAGUGGUGAGGUUGCAGCAGCGACUAAGCAUAUAUUUGGUGGCUAACUUACAAGUACCAGAAAUAAGAGGGGGAAGAUCUACGCAUAGCGGACGUGACUACUGAUGAUCAAAUGAAUGAUCCUGAACACCAACCUACGUCAGACAUAACCCCACCGUGUCCUCGAUCGGAGAAGGAACUCACGAAAGAGACAGUCACGGUUACGCACAUAGUUGGCCAAUUUUAAUUAAGUUAACUUCAAGUUAUCUAGAACCAGUGUUAAACAAAGCUUCCACAUUGCCACAUAACCGUGGGCACGGCUUUCCGAAAAGAUUUAACCUUGCAGGGGUGCUCCAACUAGUCCAUCACAAAUUAUCACAAGCCGCAUAGAAAUCCUCAAUCACGAAGCUCGCGAUCUCGUCGGAUCCCCUAGGGGAAAACCUCAACUCUGAGAUUACCCAAAGCAUCACCGGAAUCCUGAUGCACAAGAUAUUUCGUCAAAGGUAAAACUAAUCCAGCAAGGCCGCCCGACGUGUCGACGAUCCCGAUAGGAGUCGCGUACCUCGAUCUCAGGACACGAUGGAUGAGCGAUGGUUACCACGCCAAACGCCGAGUUGCCCCGGGUAGCGUUAAUAAGCUGCUCUGUUUUGGACCAACACUCAUGAGGAGCACUAGCCCGGGGGUUGAUUAAAUUAUCCUCGGGACCCGGGAAGUCCCUAUGCAAUUUUAUUAGGUGAUUAGGCAAAUGUAGUACCAAAGUUGGGCCUUGCCAGACCAGUCUUAAUCUAAACGAAUUAUCAAGGGGGUCCCCAUAACAACCCCGAUCGUGUUAGGGGCGCUCAAUUAUGGAACAUAACACCGGUAGCCGAAACUAAGGGGGCAAAAGUGGAACAAAACACCAGGCUAGAAAGGCCGAGCCUUCCACCUUUUACCAGGUAUAUAGGUGCAUUAAAUUAAAUAGCAUUUAAAUAUGGUGAUAUAACAAGGAACCCAUGUUAUCACAUGGAAGCAACUGCACCUGCAACUAGCAACGCUAACACAGGGUUAAGCAAGCAGGAACAUAGCCAAUCAGUGGUUUGCUAGGUCGAACAGGUUGAAGGUUGUCAUGGCAUUGUUGAGAGGCUGAUAUUUAACAGGUGGUAGGCAACGAGACAUAAUCGAUAGAAGCGAUAAAACUAGCAUGGCAAUGAUAGUAAUGGUAUCUGGGGAAAUGAUCAUCUUGCCUGAGAUCCCGCUUGGAAGAAGAAUGCCUCCGUGAAGCAGACGAACCGACGCAGUCGCACGGGUCCUCACAUCCGACAUGCUUGCGGAACUCUAUCGAGACGGGGAAACCGGAAACAAGCAUCAACACACGAUAUUCACCACACGAUGCACAACACAAAUGAUGAAUGAACAGUUGAAAACAGGCAAGUCACGGCAAGACAAUCCCCACAAUCAAACACUACACAUUAAGUGAAGUUCAAUAUGCACGAGUUGCAUAUUGACGAAACUCCACGUUAAUUAUUUAGUUCACUCCCGAUUAUCUCCACGGCAAUAUUAAUGUUGUCAAACAUGCAAGGGGUGAAGCGGAAAUUACACUACCUAUCUAGGCAUUUUAAAUGAGGUCGGAAAUGACAUAUAGCAUCUCCGAGACGACCUCACAUGUUAAUUCACAAUUCUGUCCAGAUCUGAACUAAUGCAUUUAAUUAGUUGUUAAACAGAAAAAAAUAGGUUCACGUGAUUCUACGUGUCAAGGCAAGCAAUCUACACGUAAAGAACAUCUCCAACGGAGCUACGGUUCAAAAGAUACAAGCACCGCAAGAUAUGAUGACAUGAAUGCAAAAUGUGUGCAACGACGGCUAUGAGCACUUCAAAACAUACAAACAACAAGAGAAAAUGAAACUACACGAGAUUCUAAGAAAGUUUCUUGUAGGACUCGAUCAAAACGGAGCUACGGUUCACAAACUACGAGCAAAACAAUAAAUCUCUACAAUCUGCCAAAAUCAGCCACAUAGCACUUUCUACGCCCCACAACUACGAGCUACACAACUCCGAUAUUCUCAAGCAAGGCAUGGCACGGAAGAGGGCAAGAAGCACUACUACGAACAGCUAACAACAACUAGCAUGGCAUCAUGGAUCACUAGAGAAAGAAGUCACAAAAAGGCAUCACACUCACUAUUUCAGACUUAGUGAAAAUAACACCUCAUGAAAGUGCNNNNNNNNNNNNNNNNNNNNNNNNNNNNNNNNNNNNNNNNNNNNNNNNNNNNNNNNNNNNNNNNNNNNNNUUUAAAUAUGGUGAUAUAACAAGGAACCCAUGUUAUCACAUGGAAGCAACUGCACCUGCAACUAGCAACGCUAACACAGGGUUAAGCAAGCAGGAACAUAGCCAAUCAGUGGUUUGCUAGGUCGAACAGGUUGAAGGUUGUCAUGGCAUUGUUGAGAGGCUGAUAUUUAACAGGUGGUAGGCAACGAGACAUAAUCGAUAGAAGCGAUAAAACUAGCAUGGCAAUGAUAGUAAUGGUAUCUGGGGAAAUGAUCAUCUUGCCUGAGAUCCCGCUUGGAAGAAGAAUGCCUCCGUGAAGC